UACAGAGGGUGCAAGCGUUAAUCGGAAUUACUGGGCGUAAAGCGUGCGUAGACGGUCAAGUAAGUCGGGUGUGAAAGCCCCGGGCUCAACCUGGGAAUUGCAUUCGAAACUGCCUGGCUAGGGUGCGGAAGAGGGAAGCGGAAUUUCAGGUGUAGCGGUGAAAUGCGUAGAUAUCUGAAGGAACACCAGUGGCGAAAGCGGCUUCCUGGUCCAGCACCGACGUUCAGGCACGAAAGCGUGGGGAG
rnacentral:rRNA from 1 species